AAUCACACUUGCUAAGCAAAAAAUGCUUCACUCAAAAUAAAUAGAAGCUGAGCAAAAUCCAAAAAAAAAGUUUAAAUUUGUAAUAUAACUUCUGCACAGCGGUUAUGGAUCCAUAAUUUUACGAUGAAAACAUUUUUGCCAUAACGAAAAUAAAUUUCAAAUCUCUUAAGACACAAGCUGUAUAACUUAACGACUUUUCAAGAUUGCCAAUUAUCGAUAUUUUUGUGCAUUUGUUUACGAUGAUGCGGCGAUACUUUUACGAGACUCAAAUUUAUGCGCCAAACAAUUUACAUUAUCAAGUCGUUCCGACUUCGUAGUUUGGAAAAAUAAAACAACAAAAAAACAAAACCUCUUCGAUAGCGUUUUGCUGUCAUGAAUUGACUUGACUCAUAUUUCCGCUUUUGCCUCUGCUUAUUGAUGAGACUCAAAUAUCUGCAUGUGUAAUAAAAUUCUCUGAGUCAGCCGGCGUCAGCAGACGGAAAUGUGAAACCGUUGUUGGAGACAGCCCCGAGAGCUUCGAGUACGUGACAUAUUAAAAACUGAAGCCGAUUCACAUAGAAA